UACAGAGGGUGCGAGCGUUAAUCGGAUUUACUGGGCGUAAAGGGUGCGUAGGCGGUAGAGUGUGUGUGAUGUGAAAGCCCCGGGCUUAACCUGGGAAGUGCAUCGCAAACUACUCAACUAGAGUACAAGAGAGGGUAGCGGAAUUUCCAGUGUAGCGGUGAAAUGCGUAGAUAUUGGAAGGAACGUCAAUGGCGAAGGCAGCUACCUGGCUUGAUACUGACGCUGAGGCACGAAAGCGUGGGGAGCGAACAGG
rnacentral:rRNA from 1 species